UGGGGGAUAUUGCACAAUGGAGGAAACUCUGAUGCAGCGACGCCGCGUGAGUGAAGAAGUAUUUUCGGUAUGUAAAGCUCUAUCAGCAGGGAAGAAAGACCUCGAAAGAGGGGAUGACGGUACCUGACUAAGAAGCCCCGGCUAACUACGUGCCAGCAGCCGCGGUAAUACGUAGGGGGCAAGCGUUAUCCGGAUUUACUGGGUGUAAAGGGAGCGCAGGCGGUCCUGCAAGUCUGAUGUGAAAGCCCGGGGCUCAACCCCGGGACUGCAUUGGAAACUGUGGGACUUGAGUGUCGGAGGGGCAAGUGGAAUUCCUAGUGUAGCGGUGAAAUGCGUAGAUAUUAGGAGGAACACCAGUGGCGAAGGCGGCUUGCUGGACGACAACUGACGCUGAGGCUCGAAAGCGUGGGGAGCAAACAGGAUUAGAUACCCUGGUAGU
rnacentral:rRNA from 1 species